AUACGUAGGAUCCGAGCGUUAUCCGGAUUUAUUGGGUUUAAAGGGUGCGCAGGCGGCCAUUUAAGUCAGCGGUUAAAUCGUGGGGCUCAACCCCAUUCUGCCGUUGAUACUGGGUGGCUUGAUUGCGGUCGAGGUUGGCGGAAUUCGUUGUGUAGCGGUGAAAUGCAUAGAUAUGACGAAGAACACCGAUUGCGUAGGCAGCUGACCAGACCGCAAAUGACGCUCAUGCACGAAAGUGCGGGGAUCGAACAGGAUUAGAUACCCUGGUAGUCCGCACAGUAAACGAUGAAUACUUGUUUUCGGCGAUAUAAUGUCGGAGGCAAAGCGAAAGCGAUAAGUAUUCCACCUGGGGAGUACGCCGGCAACGGUGUAACUCAAAUGAAUUGACGGGG
rnacentral:rRNA from 1 species